GGGCCAUAGCUCAGCUGGGAGAGCGCCUGCUUUGCACGCAGGAGGUCAGGAGUUCGAUCCUCCUUGGCUCCACCAU
rnacentral:tRNA from 3 species